GACAGAGGUGCAAACGUUGUUCGGAAUUACUGGGCGUAAAGCGCGUGUAGGCUGCUUCGCAAGUCGGUGUGAAAGCCCGUGGCUCAACCUAGGAAGUGCACUCGAAACUGCGAAGCUUGAGUUCUGGAGAGGAAGGCGGAAUUCUCGGUGUAGAGGUGAAAUUCGUAGAUAUCGAGAGGAACACCGGUGGCGAAGGCGGCCUUCUGGACAGUGACUGACGCUGAGACGCGAAAGCGUGGGGAGCAAACAGG
rnacentral:rRNA from 1 species